rnacentral:rRNA from 1 species
UUUAUAAUCUGGCACCUUCGGUGUCCGAGUUGUAAUCUCUAGAAAUGUUUUCCGCGUUGGACCGCACACAAGUCUGUUGGAAUACAGCGGCAUAGUGGUGAGACCCCCGUAUAUGGUGCGGACGCCCAGCGCUUUGUGAUACAUUUUCGAAGAGUCGAGUUGUUUGGGAAUGCAGCUCAAAUUGGGUGGUAAAUUCCAUCUAAAGCUAAAUAUUGGCGAGAGACCGAUAGCGAACAAGUACCGUGAGGGAAAGAUGAAAAGCACUUUGGAAAGAGAGUUAACAGUACGUGAAAUUGUUGGAAGGGAAACGCUUGAAGUCAGACUUGCUUGCCGAGCAAUCGGUUUGCAGGCCAGCAUCAGUUUUCCGGGAUGGAUAAUGGUAGAGAGAAGGUAGCAGUUUCGGCUGUGUUAUAGCUCUCUGCUGGAUACAUCUUGGGGGACUGAGGAACGCAGUGUGCCUUUUGGCGGGGGUUUCGACCUCUUCACACUUAGGAUGCUGGUGGAAUGGCUUUAAACGACCCGUCU